CAUCAGGGUUAAAAGGUCUGUUGUGCAUAGGUAGAGUGUAUGGAUGAGGUGAAACAAAACACCCAACAGAAUCAGAGAGAGAAAAAAGGAGGGACAACAAAAGAUUGUCAGGUAUGUCUGGGUCGAAUGCAAGGUGGAGUCAGGUAUGUCUGGGUGGAGUGCAAGGUGGAGUCAGGUAGGUCUGGGUGGAUCGCAAGGCGGAGUCAGGUAGGUCUGGGUGGAGUGCAAGGUGGAGUCAGGUAUGUCUGGGUGGAGUGCAAGGCGGAGUCAGGUGGGUCUGGGUGGAGUGCAAGGUGGAGUCAGGUAGGUCUGGGUGGAGUCAGGUAGGUCUGGGUGGAGUCAGGUAGGUCUGGGUGGAGUCAGGUAGGUCUGGGUGGAGUCUGGUAGAUCUGGGUUGAGUGCAAGGUGGAGUCAGGUAGGUCUGGGUGGAGUCAGGUAGGUCUGGGUGGAGUGCAAGGUGGAGUCAGGUAGGUCUGGGUGGAGUCUGGUAGGUCUGGUUAGAGUCUGGUAGGUCUGGGUGGAGUCAGGUAGGUCUGGGUGGACUCUUGGCUAUGCAAGGUGGAGUCUGGUAGGUCUGGGUGGAGUCUGGUAGGUCUGGUUAGAGUCUGGUAGGUCUGGGUGGAGUCUGGUAGGUCUUGGUGGAGUCUGGUAGGUCUGGGUGGAGUCAGGUAGGUCUGGGUGGACUCUUGGCUAUGCAAGGUGGAGUCUGGUUGGUCUGGGUGGAGUCAGGUAGGUCUGGGUGGAGUCUGGUAGGUCUUAGGGGAGUCUGGUAGGUCUGGGUGGAGUCUGGGCUAUGCAAGGUGGAGUCAGGUAGGUCUGGGUGGAGUCAGGUAGGUCUAGGUGGAGUCAGGUAGGUCUGGGUGGAGUCUGGUAGGUCUGGGUGGAGUCAGGUAGGUCUGGGUGGAGUCUGGUAGGUCUGGUUGGAGUCUGGUAGGUCUGGGUGGAGUCAGGUUGGUCUGGGUGGAGUCAGGUAGGUCUAGGUGGAGUCUGGUAGGUCUGGGUGGAGUCUGGUAGGUCUGGGUUGAGUCAGGUUGGUCUUGGUGGAGUCUGGUAGGUCUAGGUGGAGUCAGGUAGGUCUGGUGGAGUCUGGUAGGUCUGGGUGGAGUCAGGUAAGUCUGGGUGGAGUCAGGUUGGUCUGGGUGGAGUCUGGUAGGUCUUGGUGGAGUCUGGUAGUUCUGGGUGGAGUCUGGUAGUUCUGGGUGGAGUCAGGUAGGUCUGGGUGGAGUCUGGUAGGUCUGGGUGGAGUCUGGUAGGUCUGGGUGGAGUCAGGUAGGUCUGGGUGGAGUCUGGUAGGUCUUGGUGGAUUCUGGUAGGUCUGGGUGGAGUCUGGGCUAUGCAAGGUGGAGUCAGGUAGGUCUUGGUGGAGUCAGGUAGGUCUGGGUGGAGUCUGGUAGGUCUGGGUGGAGUCAGGUAGGUCUAGGUGGAGUCUGGUAGGUCUGGUUGGAGUCUGGUAGGUCGGUGGAGGGCAAGGUGGAGUCAGGUAGGUCUGGGUGGAGUCUGGUAGGUCUGGUAGGUCUGGGUGGUGUCAGGUUGGUCUGGGUGGAGUCAGGUGGGUCUAGGUGGAGUCUGGUAGGUCUGGGUGGAGUCUGGUAGGUCUGGGUUGAGUCAGGUUGGUCUGGGUGGAGUCUGGGUGGUCUAGGUGGAGUCAGGUCAGGUAGGUCCGGGUGGAGUCAGGUAGGUCUGGGUGGAGUCUGGUAGGUCUGGGUGGAGUCUGGUAGGUCUGGUUAGAGUCUGGUAGGUCUGGGUGGAGUCAGGUAGGUCUGGUAGGUCUGGGUGGAGUCAGGUAGGUCUGGGUGCAGUCAGGUAGGUUUGGUUGGAGUCUGGUAGGUCUGGGUGGAGUCAGGUAGGUCUGGGUGGACUCUUGGCUAUGCAAGGUGGAGUCUGGUAGGUCUGGGUGGAGUCUGGUAGGUCUGGGUGGAGUCAGGUAGGUCUGGGUGGAGUCUGGUAGGUCUGGGUGGAGUCAGGUAGGUCUGGGUGGAGUAUGGUAGGUCUGGGUGGAGUCAGGUAGGUCUGGUUAGAGUCUGGUAGGUCUGGGUGGAGUCUGGUAGGUCUUGGUGGAGUCUGGUAGGUCUGGGUGGAGUCAGGUAGGUCUGGGUGGACUCUUGGCUAUGCAAGGUGGAGUCUGGUUGGUCUGGGUGGAGUCAGGUAGGUCUGGGUGGAGUCUGGUAGGUCUUAGGGGAGUCUGGUAGGUCUGGGUGGAGUCUGGGCUAUGCAAGGUGGAGUCAGGUAGGUCUGGGUGGAGUCAGGUAGGUCUAGGUGGAGUCAGGUAGGUCUGGGUGGAGUCUGGUAGGUCUGGGUGGAGUCAGGUAGGUCUGGGUGGAGUCUGGUAGGUCUGGUUGGAGUCUGGUAGGUCUGGGUGGAGUCAGGUUGGUCUGGGUGGAGUCAGGUAGGUCUAGGUGGAGUCUGGUAGGUCUGGGUGGAGUCUGGUAGGUCUGGGUUGAGUCAGGUUGGUCUUGGUGGAGUCUGGUAGGUCUAGGUGGAGUCAGGUAGGUCUGGUGGAGUCUGGUAGGUCUGGGUGGAGUCAGGUAAGUCUGGGUGGAGUCAGGUUGGUCUGGGUGGAGUCUGGUAGGUCUUGGUGGAGUCUGGUAGUUCUGGGUGGAGUCUGGUAGUUCUGGGUGGAGUCAGGUAGGUCUGGGUGGAGUCUGGUAGGUCUGGGUGGAGUCUGGUAGGUCUGGGUGGAGUCAGGUAGGUCUGGGUGGAGUCUGGUAGGUCUUGGUGGAUUCUGGUAGGUCUGGGUGGAGUCUGGGCUAUGCAAGGUGGAGUCAGGUAGGUCUUGGUGGAGUCAGGUAGGUCUGGGUGGAGUCUGGUAGGUCUGGGUGGAGUCAGGUAGGUCUAGGUGGAGUCUGGUAGGUCUGGUUGGAGUCUGGUAGGUCGGUGGAGGGCAAGGUGGAGUCAGGUAGGUCUGGGUGGAGUCUGGUAGGUCUGGUAGGUCUGGGUGGUGUCAGGUUGGUCUGGGUGGAGUCAGGUGGGUCUAGGUGGAGUCUGGUAGGUCUGGGUGGAGUCUGGUAGGUCUGGGUUGAGUCAGGUUGGUCUGGGUGGAGUCUGGGUGGUCUAGGUGGAGUCAGGUCAGGUAGGUCCGGGUGGAGUCAGGUAGGUCUGGGUGGAGUCUGGUAGGUCUGGGUGGAGUCUGGUAGGUCUGGUUAGAGUCUGGUAGGUCUGGGUGGAGUCAGGUAGGUCUGGUAGGUCUGGGUGGAGUCAGGUAGGUCUGGGUGCAGUCAGGUAGGUUUGGUUGGAGUCUGGUAGGUCUGGGUGGAGUCAGGUAGGUCUGGGUGGACUCUUGGCUAUGCAAGGUGGAGUCUGGUAGGUCUGGGUGGAGUCUGGUAGGUCUGGGUGGAGUCAGGUAGGUCUGGGUGGAGUCUGGUAGGUCUGGGUGGAGUCAGGUAGGUCUGGUUAGAGUCUGGUAGGUCUGGGUGGAGUCUGGUAGGUCUGGGUGGAGUCUGGGCUAUGCAAGGUGGAGUCAGGUAGGUCUUGGUGGAGUCAGGUAGGUCUGGGUGGAGUCUGGUAGGUCUGGGUGGAGUCAGGUAGGUCUAGGUGGAGUCUGGUAGGUCUGGUUGGAGUCUGGUAGGUCUGGGUGGAGUCUGGUAGGUCUGGGUGGAGUCUGGUAGGUCUGGGUUGAGUCAGGUUGGUCUGGGUGGAGUCUGGGUGGUCUAGGUGGAGUCAGGUCAGGUAGGUCCGGGUGGAGUCAGGUAGGUCUGGGUGGAGUCUGGUAGGUCUGGGUGGAGUCUGGUAGGUCUGGUUAGAGUCUGGUAGGUCUGGGUGGAGUCAGGUAGGUCUGGUAGGUCUGGGUGGAGUCAGGUAGGUCUGGGUGCAGUCAGGUAGGUUUGGUUGGAGUCUGGUAGGUCUGGGUGGAGUCAGGUAGGUCUGGGUGGACUCUUGGCUAUGCAAGGUGGAGUCUGGUAGGUCUGGGUGGAGUCUGGUAGGUCUGGGUGGAGUCAGGUAGGUCUGGGUGGAGUCUGGUAGGUCUGGGUGGAGUCAGGUAGGUCUGGGUGGAGUAUGGUAGGUCUGGGUGGAGUCAGGUAGGUCUGGUUAGAGUCUGGUAGGUCUGGGUGGAGUCUGGUAGGUCUUGGUGGAGUCUGGUAGGUCUGGGUGGAGUCAGGUAGGUCUGGGUGGACUCUUGGCUAUGCAAGGUGGAGUCUGGUUGGUCUGGGUGGAGUCAGGUAGGUCUGGGUGGAGUCUGGUAGGUCUUAGGGGAGUCUGGUAGGUCUGGGUGGAGUCUGGGCUAUGCAAGGUGGAGUCAGGUAGGUCUGGGUGGAGUCAGGUAGGUCUAGGUGGAGUCAGGUAGGUCUGGGUGGAGUCUGGUAGGUCUGGGUGGAGUCAGGUAGGUCUGGGUGGAGUCUGGUAGGUCUGGUUGGAGUCUGGUAGGUCUGGGUGGAGUCAGGUUGGUCUGGGUGGAGUCAGGUAGGUCUAGGUGGAGUCUGGUAGGUCUGGGUGGAGUCUGGUAGGUCUGGGUUGAGUCAGGUUGGUCUUGGUGGAGUCUGGUAGGUCUAGGUGGAGUCAGGUAGGUCUGGUGGAGUCUGGUAGGUCUGGGUGGAGUCAGGUAAGUCUGGGUGGAGUCAGGUUGGUCUGGGUGGAGUCUGGUAGGUCUUGGUGGAGUCUGGUAGUUCUGGGUGGAGUCUGGUAGUUCUGGGUGGAGUCAGGUAGGUCUGGGUGGAGUCUGGUAGGUCUGGGUGGAGUCUGGUAGGUCUGGGUGGAGUCAGGUAGGUCUGGGUGGAGUCUGGUAGGUCUUGGUGGAUUCUGGUAGGUCUGGGUGGAGUCUGGGCUAUGCAAGGUGGAGUCAGGUAGGUCUUGGUGGAGUCAGGUAGGUCUGGGUGGAGUCUGGUAGGUCUGGGUGGAGUCAGGUAGGUCUAGGUGGAGUCUGGUAGGUCUGGUUGGAGUCUGGUAGGUCUGGGUGGAGUCUGGUAGGUCUGGGUGGAGUCUGGUAGGUCUGGGUUGAGUCAGGUUGGUCUGGGUGGAGUCUGGGUGGUCUAGGUGGAGUCAGGUCAGGUAGGUCCGGGUGGAGUCAGGUAGGUCUGGGUGGAGUCUGGUAGGUCUGGGUGGAGUCUGGUAGGUCUGGUUAGAGUCUGGUAGGUCUGGGUGGAGUCAGGUAGGUCUGGUAGGUCUGGGUGGAGUCAGGUAGGUCUGGGUGCAGUCAGGUAGGUUUGGUUGGAGUCUGGUAGGUCUGGGUGGAGUCAGGUAGGUCUGGGUGGACUCUUGGCUAUGCAAGGUGGAGUCUGGUAGGUCUGGGUGGAGUCUGGUAGGUCUGGGUGGAGUCAGGUAGGUCUGGGUGGAGUCUGGUAGGUCUGGGUGGAGUCAGGUAGGUCUGGUUAGAGUCAGGUAGGUCUGGUAGGUCUGGUAGGUCUGGGUGGAGUCUGGUAGGUCUGGGUGGACUCUUGGCUAUGCAAGGUGGAGUCUGGUAGGUCUGGGUGGAGUCUGGUAGGUCUGGGUGGAGUCAGGUAGGUCUGGGUGGAGUCUGGUAGGUCUGGGUGGAGUCAGGUAGGUCUGGGUGGAGUCUGGUAGGUCUGGGUGGAGUCUGGGCUAUGCAAGGUGUAGAGGUCCGUGACAAAUCAUAGUGGUACACCUGUAUUUCACACAAGGCAUGAUUUGUUCUUUACACUGAAUACCAUAUUUCACACACAAAUUUGGAUUGGUUUGACAUCAUUCACAUAUAUGCAAAUUGUGGAAUUCUUUGAAUGUAU